rnacentral:tRNA from 1 species
UGUUCUGUGGCUCAGUAGGUUAAAGAGCUGGUCUAGCGAAUAUGGAGUCGUGGGUUCAAAUCCCACCAGAACGC